UACGGGGGGGGCAAGCGUUGUUCGGAUUUACUGGGCGUAAAGAGCGCGCAGGCGGUCGGAUAAGUCGAAUGUGAAAGCCCCCGGCUCAACUGGGGAGGGUCAUUCGAUACUGUUCGACUCGAAGGCAGGAGAGGGAAGCGGAAUUCCCGGUGUAGUGGUGAAAUGCGUAGAUAUCGGGAGGAACACCAGUGGCGAAGGCGACUUCCUGGCCUGUUCUUGACGCUGAGGCGCGAAAGCUAGGGGAGCAAACGGG
rnacentral:rRNA from 1 species